GAUGAACGCUGGCGGCGUGCUUAACACAUGCAAGUCGAACGAUGAAGCCCAGCUUGCUGGGUGGAUUAGUGGCGAACGGGUGAGUAACACGUGAGUAACCUGCCCUUAACUCUGGGAUAAGCCUGGGAAACUGGGUCUAAUACCGGGUAGGAGCGUCCACCGCAUGGUGGGUGUUGGAAAGAUUUAUCGGUUUUGGAUGGACUCGCGGCCUAACAGCUUGUUGGUGAGGUAAUGGCUCACCAAGGCGACGACGGGUAGCCGGCCUGAGAGGGUGACCGGCCACACUGGGACUGAGACACGGCCCAGACUCCUACGGGAGGCAGCAGUGGGGAAUAUUGCACAAUGGGCGCAAGCCUGAUGCAGCGACGCCGCGUGAGGGAUGACGGCCUUCGGGUUGUAAACCUCUUUCAGUAGGGAAGAAGCGAAAGUGACGGUACCUGCAGAAGAAGCACCGGCUAACUACGUG
rnacentral:rRNA from 1 species